AGCUUUGCUCAGUGGCAGUAUCGUAGCCAAUGAGGUUUAUCCAAGGCGUGAUUAUUGCUAAUUGAAAGAGAAAAAACGAGGGAGAAAAACAUCCUGCUAGAGGUUAUGCACAGCAGGCACACAUAAAAUUUAUGGCAAGUUUGGAAAUAAUAGAAUUA
rnacentral:snRNA from 1 species